GAUGAACGCUGACAGAAUGCUUAACACAUGCAAGUCAACUGUGGCGGACGGGUGAGUAACGCGUAAAGAACUUGCCUCACGGAUAGGGACAACAUUUGGAAACGAAUGCUAAUACCUGAUACUGUGAGAGAGCUUUGCGUCCCAUUAGCUAGUUGGAGAGGUAACGGCUCACCAAUGCGAUGAUGGGGAGCCGGCCUGAGAGGGUGAUCGGCCACAAGGGGACGGAGACACGGCCCGUACUCCUACGGGAGGCAUCAGUGGUGAAUAUUGGAAAAUGGACCAAAGUCUGAUCCAGCAAUUCUGUGUGCACGAUGAAGUUUUCGGAAUGUAAAGUGCUUUCAGUUGGGAAGCGGUACCAACAGAAGAAGUGACGGCUAAAUACGUGCCAGCAGCAGCGGUAAUUC
rnacentral:rRNA from 1 species